UGUAUGUAAACUUCCGACUUGAACUGUAUAUACAGAGAAAGAGUCGGCCCGAGAAUUGAACCCUGUGGCACCCCCAUAGAGACUGCCAUUGAAGGAUGUCUGAAAUGCAGUAAAUGGAAUGGUAUCAAACGUGUGUGGUUGAUAUCAUUCCAUCGACUCCAUUCCAGCCAGGAAGGGUGGGAGAACAACGUGAAGGUAAUUUUCUUUGCACUCAACAGCAGCAUCCAAGCCUCCACUGAGUAUGGAUGGGAGCCGCAGCUGUUGACUGAGGUGAACAAUGCAAUUGUGUAUAUACAAUACUUGCGAUAAUUAUAUCUUUCAAAUUUGUGAUUAACUUUGUUUUUAUUUGUCAAUUGCUAUUUUUGAAUAAAGUACUUUCAGAUCACUGAAAGCUCACCUGAUGUGGUGGAAGUUGUCGAACCAGAUCGGAACGCUUUUGAAGACCACCUUCAGGCAUGGACUGAGAAAUAUGUGGAGGUUUUUGACCAAGUGAGACUGAACAUUGUCAAGGUGCAGGAGAAACAGAAGGAGAGCUACCGGGGCAGAAUCAAGAAGGGGGCCAAGUGCUACGACGUUCUGGGCGAAUUACUUGGUUUGGAAGAAGGACAAAAGGAAGGCGAGACCUGGGAAACCUUGCUGCUCUGGGGUCACGAUCUGUUAAGGGUUACCUCGGUGGAAACAAACAAUCUUCUCCAGUUUUAGCAGUUAGACGGUUGACCACUGAAGCACUGACGCCCUACACUUCAGUGAAGCCCAAUAGACAAAGUAUGUUAAGCUUUGGUUGACAUUUGAGAAAGCAAGAAAUGGUAGAUAAAAAUUACCUAUUCAAUUUACCUCUACAAAGGACCAUCGACUGUCUGAGCCCUGCAGGAGGUAUCCCAUCCACCAGAGCCGUUGAGUUCAGAUCAGUCUGAUUCUCUAUGCUCUGAGUCAGAGGGGGACCAGCUUGGGGUAGUCUAUACCUUCCAAAAUUGUUGAAAAGUACAUAUCUCCCAUUUAUAACACUGCGCCAAUCCAUCACAUUUUCUCACAGUACAGUGUAACUUGUGUGUUUGCUUGUUUACGUCUCUGUCUCCUAACCUGUUCCCUUUAAUGCUGUUCCUGUUCUCCAGGACAUAGGGGUUCUGCCUAACAUCCAGACGUGGAUCCACCUGAUGUCCUCCAUUACCAAUCACCCUUCAACUUUUCAUUACAUCAUCUACAGCUACUGUUAUUGUCAUGUCAUUAUCUGCUAAAAUAGUGUUCUUGCUCUAUUAUACUGGGCACAUAAUAUGUGAGAUUCAAAGAUGAACUAAAAACACUAGCACUGCAAACACUCAGAAAGCAGCAGUGCCUGGACUUUGCAGUCUCCCACUUUAAGUCCCCCUUUUCAGACUGACAGGCAGAACCUCCCACCCACACAGCAACCACCUCAAUAUUCCACACCAGAAUUCAGUAUUUUAGUCUGAUUGCCAUGUGAGUGUACAAAAAAAUGGAAAAUAUACUGACACAACUGUACCAAAAAAUCUAAGGGUUUAUGUAUUAAAAUCUUAAAUAUU